CAUGGCCUUAUUGAUAAUAAUUUAAGGUCUGAUCUGCUCAAUGAAUUUUAAAUAGCCGCAGUAUUUUGACUGUGCGAAGGUAGCAUAAUAAUUAGUUUCUUAAUUAGGGACUGGAAUGAAUGAUUGGACAAGAAAAUUACUGUCUCUUUUUUAGGUGUUGAAUUUUAUUUUUAAGUGAAAAAGCUUAAAUGUUUGUAAAAGACGAGAAGACCCUAUAGAGUUUAACAUUUUAUUUUAAUUUGUUAUUAGUAUAAUUUUUUAAAAUAUUAUUGUUUGGUUGGGGUGACUGAAAGAUACAAUUAAUUCUUUUAGAUUUUAAUUAAAAAUUUUUAAAUUUUUAAUCUAUAAUUUGUAAAAUUAAAAUAAAUUACCUUAGGGAUAACAGCGUAAUUUUUCUUUAAAGUUCUUAUUGUAAGGAAAGUUUGCGACCUCGAUGUUGGAUUAAAAUAAAUUUUUGGUGCAAUAACUGAAAAAUUAGGUCUGUUCGACCUUUAAAAUUUUACAUGAUCUGAGUUUAGACCGGUGUGAACCAGGUUGGAUUCUAUCUUUAUAUUUAUUUUUAUAUUUUAGUACGAAAGGACCAAAUAUAAGUUAAAUUAAUUGU
rnacentral:rRNA from 1 species